rnacentral:rRNA from 1 species
GUUGAACGCUGGCGGCGUGCCUAAUACAUGCAAGUCGAACGCAGUGGGGACGGGUGAGUAAAACGUGGGUAACCUCCCAUCAGAGGGGAUAACACUUGGAAACAGGUGCUAAACCGAUACUGAUGGAUGGACUCGCGGUGCAUUAGCUAGUGGGGGAGGUAACGGCGCACCAAGGCCACGAUGCAUAGCCGGCCUGAGAGGGUGAUCAGCCACACUGGAACUGAGACACGGCCCAGACUCCUACGGGAGGCAGCAGUAGGGAAUCUUCGGCAAUGGACGAAAGUCUGACCGAGCAACGCCGCGUGAGUGAAGAAGGUUUUCGGGGCGUAAAGCUCUGUUGUUAGAGAAGCGGUAUCUGACCAAGAAGCCACGGCUAACUACGUGCCAGCAGCCGCGGUAAUUC